rnacentral:rRNA from 1 species
ACGGCUCAGUAACACGUGGCCAAACUACCCUCUGGAGCGCGACAACCUCGGGAAACUGAGGCUAAUCGCGCAUACCGCUCUCAGGCUGGAACUGCCGAGAGCGCGAAAUGCCCCGGCGCCAGAGGAUGUGGCUGCGGCCGAUUAGGUAGACGGUGGGGUAACGGCCCACCGUGCCAGUAAUCGGUACGGGUUGUGAGAGCAAGAGCCCGGAGACGGUAUCUGAGACAAGAUACCGGGCCCUACGGGGCGCAGCAGGCGCGAAACCUUUACACUGCACGCCAGUGCGAUAAGGGGACUCCAAGUGCGAGGGCAUAGAGCCCUCGCUUUUCUGUACCGUAAGGUGGUACAAGAAUAAGUGCUGGGCAAGACCGGUGCCAGCCGCCGCGGUAAUACCGGCAGCACGAGUGAUGGCCGCUCUUAUUGGGCCUAAAGCGUCCGUAGCUGGCCGCGCAAGUCCAUCGGGAAAUCCGCACGCCUAACGUGCGGGCGUCCGGUGGAAACUGCGUGGCUUGGGACCGGAAGAUCCAGAGGGUACGUCUGGGGUAGGAGUGAAAUCCUGUAAUCCUGGACGGACCACCGGUGGCGAAAGCGCUCUGGAAGGACGGAUCCGACGGUGAGGGACGAAAGCUCGGGUCACGAACCGGAUUAGAUACCCGGGUAGUCCGAGCUGUAAACGAUGUCUGCUAGGUGUGCCACGGGCUACGAGCCUGUGGUGUGCCGUAGGGAAGCCGUGAAGCAGACCGCCUGGGAAGUACGUCCGCAAGGAUGAAACUUAAAGGAAUUGGCGGGGGAGCAC